rnacentral:tRNA from 1 species
GGUGGAGACGGAGCUGUGGAGCUCCAGCCGGCCGUAACCCGGACGUCCUUGUGACACAGGGGGUUCGACUCCCCCCUCCACCA